rnacentral:sRNA from 1 species
AAUUAGCGUUAGGGAUUGAAGUGGCAUCCUUUUGGUUUUGAUUCGAGUUUGCGAAGCAAAUAUUGAGAAUAGAAAACAAAAGAUAUAACGGAAAGCCCGCUCGAAC